rnacentral:rRNA from 1 species
GAUGAACGCUGGCGGCGUGCUUAACACAUGCAAGUCGAACGGAAAGGCCCAAGCUUGCUUGGGUACUCGAGUGGCGAACGGGUGAGUAACACGUGGGUGAUCUGCCCUGCACUUCGGGAUAAGCCUGGGAAACUGGGUCUAAUACCGGAUAGGACCACUUCUUGGAUGUUGUGGUGGAAAGUUUUUUCGGUGUGGGAUGAGCUCGCGGCCUAUCAGCUUGUUGGUGGGGUAAUGGCCUACCAAGGCGUCGACGGGUAGCCGGCCUGAGAGGGUGUACGGCCACAGUGGGACUGGGAUACGGCCCAGACUCCUACGGGAGGCAGCAGUGGGGAAUAUUGCACAAUGGGCGCAAGCCUGAUGCAGCGACGCCGCGUGGGGGAGGACGGCCUUCGGGUUGUAAACUCCUUUCGCUAGGGACGAAGCGUUUUGUGACGGUACCUGGAGAAGAAGCACCGGCUAACUACGUG